GAUCAUUUCACAGUGAUGAUCUUGUGGGUGCUGUGGUUUAAUAUUUCAUUAUUUAAUUCCAGGGUUCUCCAGGCUAUCCGGGACCAGUGGGGCCAAAAGGCGACAGGGGAGAACCUGGUUAUGUCCUGGGAGGAGUGGAGGUGAUUCCUGGCCGAAAUGGGCAUCCCGGCCCCCCUGGACAGAAAGGACAGCCAGGAGUUCCUGGGGUAGCAGGACCACAGGGUUUACCUGGACUACCAGGGCCACAGGGCCCACCAGGACUCUCCAUCAAGGUGAGCAAGGCUAUCUGCACCAUGGCUCUGUGAUGUUUAUCCCAAAAAGGGGUAAUCUGCCAUAAUCCAG
rnacentral:lncRNA from 1 species